rnacentral:rRNA from 1 species
CCACUUCGGUGGUACUCGAGCGGCGAACGGGUGAGUAACACGUGAGUAAUCUGCCCCUGGCUUCGGGAUAGCCACCGGAAACGGUGAUUAAUACCGGAUAUGACACAUUCUCGCAUGGGUUUGUGUGGAAAGUUUUUCGGCCAGGGAUGUGCUCGCGGCCUAUCAGCUUGAUGGUGAGGUAAUGGCUCACCAUGGCUUCGACGGGUAGCCGGCCUGAGAGGGUGACCGGCCACACUGGGACUGAGACACGGCCCAGACUCCUACGGGAGGCAGCAGUGGGGAAUAUUGGACAAUGGGCGGAAGCCUGAUCCAGCAACGCCGCGUGAGGGAUGACGGCCUUCGGGUUGUAAACCUCUUUCAGUACCGACGAAGCGCAAGUGACGGUAGGUACAGAAGAAGCACCGGCCAACUACGUGCCAGCAGCCGCGGUAAUACGUAGGGUGCGAGCGUUGUCCGGAAUUAUUGGGCGUAAAGGGCUCGUAGGCGGUUUGUCGCGUCGGGAGUGAAAACGCCGUGCUUAACACGGCGCUUGCUUCCGAUACGGGCAGACUAGAGGUAUUCAGGGGAGAACGGAAUUCCUGGUGUAGC